AGUGAACGCUGGCGGCGUGCCUAAUACAUGCAAGUCGAACGGAGUGGCGCACGGGUGAGUAAUAUAUAGCUAAUCUGCCCCUUGCUGGAGGACAACAGUUAGAAAUGACUGCUAAUACUCCAUAGCAAGGGAUGAGACUAUAUCGUAUCAGCUAGUCGGUGGGGUAACGGCCUACCGAGGCUAUGACGCGUAACUGGUCUGAGAGGAUGAUCAGUCACAUUGGAACUGAGACACGGUCCAAACUCCUACGGGAGGCAGCAGUAGGGAAUAUUGCGCAAUGGGGGAAACCCUGACGCAGCAACGCCGCGUGAGUGAUGACGGCCUUCGGGUUGUAAAGCUCUGUUAAUCGGGACGCAGUACCGGAAUAGAAAGCCACGGCUAACUACGUGCCAGCAGCCGCGGUAAUUC
rnacentral:rRNA from 1 species